rnacentral:lncRNA from 1 species
GGCCGUAUCCAGCUGAGCUCAGCUGAGCAAUUUAUUUAGUUGGCAUUCAAAGAUAUUGAGCUUAUAUUUUGUUUAUGAUUUCCAAAUCAGAUGUUGCAAUGGGUUGAUUAUUUGCAGUUUAUUAUUCUUAUGACGACCAUGAUACUUACUAUAUGUAUCAAACUAAUGACCGCUUUCAGUCAUCCAUGCUGAUAUUGUGUUGGUAUUGAGUGAUGUACCAUACAAAUUUGGUUGUAGUUUAAAAAUUUUGAGUAUACAUGGUACUACUUGGUUUCGGCAUGCACUUGUGGUGUUCAGUUAACUGGCCACAUAUGUUGCGCACAAUAUACAAAUUAGGAGAUAGAUGGGUCAUUGAGGCAAUUUUCUACCAGAGACGUAAACAGCUAUGGGUUAACUGUAAAACAGAUUUUAAGACCAGUGUGUUCACAUGGACACAGUUGCAAACAGCAGGUCUCAGCUGUCUGUAUCCAAAAAAUGAUAAGAAUGAUAUGAUUGCCAAUCUGCUGACCUUUUCCUUAUUUUCAUGGUUCACUGAAAACAUC